rnacentral:rRNA from 1 species
UGGGGAAUUGUUCGCAAUGGGCGCAAGCCUGACGACGCAACGCCGCGUGGAGGAUGAAGGUCUUCGGAUUGUAAACUCCUGUUGAUCGGGACGAACAACCAUCGGGAUAACACCCCGGAGGUCUGACGGUACCGAUUGAGGAAGCCCCGGCUAACUCUGUGCCAGCAGCCGCGGUAAUACAGAGGGGGCAAGCGUUGUUCGGAAUUACUGGGCGUAAAGGGCGCGUAGGCGGCCACCUAAGUCAGACGUGAAAUCCCUCGGCUCAACCGGGGAACUGCGUCUGAUACUGGGUGGCUUGAAUUCGGGAGAGGGAUGCGGAAUUCCAGGUGUAGCGGUGAAAUUCGUAGAUAUUCGGAAGAACACCAGUGGCGAAGGCGACUAACUGGACAUGUAUUGACGCUGAGGUGCGAAAGCGUGGGGAGCAAA